rnacentral:SRP_RNA from 1 species
UGACGCACACACUACAUGCGGGAAACUAAUGCCUGGCCCAAUGC